rnacentral:rRNA from 1 species
UAAGAGGUCCCGCCUGCCCUGUGACAUUAGUUUUUAACGGCCGCGGUAUUUUAACCGUGCGAAGGUAGCGUAAUCACUUGUCCCUUAAAUGAGGACCUGUAUGAAUGGCAUAACGAGGGCUUAACUGUCUCCUACCCCUAGUCAAUGAAAUUGAUCUCCCCGUGCAGAAGCGGGGAUAUACUCAUAAGACGAGAAGACCCUAUGGAGCUUUAGACGCCAGAACAGCUCAUGUCCAGAACCCUAAAAAUAUAAAUAGGAUAAACAUAAUGCACCCUGUUCUAGUGUCUUUGGUUGGGGCGACCGCGGAGAGAUAAACAACCUCCAUGUGGAAUGAUAACACAGUUAUUUUAAUCAAGAGUUACAACUCUAACUUACAGAAUUUCUGACCAGCAAGAUCCGGCAAAGCCGAUCAACGGACCGAGUUACCCUAGGGAUAACAGCGCAAUCCCCUUUUAGAGCCCAUAUCGACAAGGGGGUUUACGACCUCGAUGUUGGAUCAGGACAUCCUAAUGGUGCAGCCACUAUUAAGGGUUCGUUUGUUCAACG